AGCUGCAGGGGAUGCUAGUCUUUCAGACACCCCAUUGCAAAAGGAAAUUUAGCAGGAAGAGGGAGUGUUCACCAUUUUCAAGAUAAUGAUCCAUCAUCGUUGGACAUUCAGAGCGCAAGCCGUCUCCUUUGACAAGAGUGUUGACCAGAUUUGGAUUCCGUUGGAGGACAUUUGGGGAUAAUUCACUGAAAAAAUGUACAGAGGAUUACCACCAUCCACCAAGUUGCUGAAGCCACAGCCAUCUGAGUUAUCAUCUCCCCUCCCCCGCUGCCCCAUCCUUCGCUCCGUAACAUCUCAUCUGUUGAGAGGUCCUAUUCUACUUUUAAAAUACAUUUUCAAUC